UUGGCUGACGGUGGGGGUGUGGCCGUUACCGUGAUCAUCGGGAGAGUCUGAUUGGCCGCAGAAGUGUGGGCGGGUUCAGGUUCCUGGGUGAAUGGGCCCUCACCUGUGCCGGAGGCCAGACCCGGGCUGGUUGAGAGGCGCGAGGUCUGAGAGCCUCCCCCUAGCGGUCCUGGCGAGCCCUGAGGGUUCCAGCUGGGCCGGGCAGCGGGCGGCCAGCUUCUCAGGCUGUGGCUGACGCGCUGAGCCAGGGGCCCUGUCGCAGAGUCUCAUCUGGGCACUGACCAGUCAUUACUUCUCUUACAAGCGCAUUUGCCAGAUGGGAGAGGGGCUUGGAAACCUGUCCUCUCCUUAUUACCACAAAGGGAAGCCAGCCUCGCUUGAAACCACGUGGAAGAAACCAUCCUCAAUGACACUCGGGCACCAAAGCAAACCAAACCUGAAGAGCCUCCGGCUUCUGGUCUCUGGUCUCCUGAGCUGGCCAGUCAUCCUUUAUUGUUGGAUGUCUGAGGACACUCUCUUCUGGACUUGGCACCAUCCUUCUGCAGGGAGCCUUCUAUCCUUUCUCACUAGCCAGAAUACACUUUUUAAAGCAUUGAGUUUCUGAACGUUGGUCCUGACUCAGCAGGUCGGCAGGAUCAUUAGUGGGUUUAAAGGAAAUCAGUCCUGAGUAUUCACUGGAAAGACCGAUGCUAAAGCUGAAACUCCAAUACUUUGGCCACCUGACGUGACGAGCUGACUCAUUGGAAAAGACCCUGAUGCUGGGAAAGAUUGAGGGCAGGAGGAGAAGGGGACGACAGAGGAUGAGAUGGUUGGAUGGCAUCACCGAUUCAAUGGACGUGAGUUUGAGUAAACUCCAGGAGUUGGGUACGGACAGGGAGGCCUGGCGUGCUGCCGUUCACGGGGUCACAAAGAGUUGGACACGAUUGAGUGACUGAACUGAACUGAUACUAGUAUUUUAGGUCAUACCCAUAUUUUAUUUUUUAGUAAAAUGGUUUAGCAAAGAACAGACUACAUGAAAAUAUUAGGGUGCAUGUAUACAGCACAGUGAGUUUUUCCUCAUAAUUUUUUGAGUCAUGCUAUGAAAUGGGGAAUUGCAGUGGGCCCCAGGCAAAAAGUCUGGAAACCUUUCAUUUAGAGCACACAUUUUGAUUGCACUGCUCUCCUGCUUAAAAUAUCUUGAUGCUUCUGUCU
rnacentral:lncRNA from 1 species